AUUGAACGCUGGCGGCAUGCUUUACACAUGCAAGUCGAACGGUAACAGGCCGCAAGGUGCUGACGAGUGGCGAACGGGUGAGUAAUGCAUCGGAACGUGCCCAGUCGUGGGGGAUAACGCAGCGAAAGCUGCGCUAAUACCGCAUACGAUCUCUGGAUGAAAGCGGGGGACCGAAAGGCCUCGCGCGAUUGGAGCGGCCGAUGUCAGAUUAGGUAGUUGGUGGGGUAAAGGCCCACCAAGCCAACGAUCUGUAGCUGGUCUGAGAGGACGACCAGCCACACUGGGACUGAGACACGGCCCAGACUCGUACGGGAGGCAGCAGUGGGGAAUUUUGGACAAUGGGCGCAAGCCGGAUCCAGCAAUGCCGCGUGCAGGAAGAAGGCCUUCGGGUUGUAAACUGCUUUUGUACGGAACGAAACGGUCCUGGUUAAUACCUGGGGCUAAUGACGGUACCGCAAGAAUAAGCACCGGCUAACUACGUGCCAGCCGCCGCCGUAAUAC
rnacentral:rRNA from 1 species